GAUGAACGCUGGCGGCGUGCCUAAUACAUGCAAGUCGAGCGAACAGAUAAGGAGCUUGCUCCUUUGACGUUAGCGGCGGGCGGGUGAGUAACACGUGGAUAACCUACCUAUAAGACUGGGAUAACUUCGGGAAACCGGAGCUAAUACCGGAUAAAAUAUUGAAACGCAAGGGUCAAUAGUGAAAAGGGGGUUUGGUGUAACUUAUAGAUGGAUCCGCGCCGGAUUAGCUAGUUGGUAAGGUAACGGCUUACCAAGGCAACGAUACGUAGCCGACCUGAGAGGGUGAUCGGCCACACUGGAACUGAGACACGGUCCAGACUCCUACGGGAGGCAGCAGUAGGGAAUCUUCCGCAAUGGGCGAAAGCCUGACGGAGCAACGCCGCGUGAGUGAUGAAGGUCUUCGGAUCGUAAAACUCUGUUAUCAGGGAAGAACAAAUGUGUAAGUAACUGUGCACAUCUUGACGGUACCUGAUCAGAAAGCCACGGCUAACUACGUG
rnacentral:rRNA from 1 species